GAUGAACGCUGGCGGCGUGCUUAACACAUGCAAGUCGAACGGAAAGGCUCCUGCUUGCCGGGGUCCUCGAGUGGCGAACGGGUGAGUAACACGUGGGUGAUCUGCCCUGCACUUCGGGAUAAGCCUGGGAAACUGGGUCUAAUACCGGAUAGGACCACAUUUUGGAUGGUGUGGUGGAAAGUUUUUCGGUGUGGGAUGAGCUCGCGGCCUAUCAGCUUGUUGGUGGGGUAAUGGCCUACCAAGGCGUCGACGGGUAGCCGGCCUGAGAGGGUGUACGGCCACAUUGGGACUGAGAUACGGCCCAGACUCCUACGGGAGGCAGCAGUGGGGAAUAUUGCACAAUGGGCGCAAGCCUGAUGCAGCGACGCCGCGUGGGGGAUGACGGCCUUCGGGUUGUAAACUCCUUUCGCUAGGGACGAAGCGUUUUUGUGACGGUACCUGGAGAAGAAGCACCGGCUAACUACGUG
rnacentral:rRNA from 1 species